AAAUGGCCUGCGCUCUAAACAUUUGGUAAUAUCCAAGUCCACCCUUGGAAGCCAUGGCCAACCGUAGCGUCUACGCAAAGCUUAUGCAUAGCCACCCCUAUUUCUUUCGACGUCUAAGCUCCGCCUCUUUUUCCUCCAUCGCCGCCUCCCCUUCCCCGCCCAAUUUCAAAGAAAAAACCGAGCCCACCACCAUCGCCGACAAAUCCAUCGUUAAUUUAGAUGAUUUUAAGGGGCUGUUUUCAUCUGUUCCAAUCUCGAAGUUGAUAAAAUCAUCGAUCAAUCUUCACUUGACGGCAAUUGAACCCGUGGUUGAUAUGGGCUUGUGGGUUGUGAAUUCGAGGCUCAUGGAAACACCGUUAUUGAGAGAGAUAAUAUUGGGAGUCAUAAAAAAUACGGUUUAUGAACAUUUUUGUGCGGGUAAGGAUUUGAAAGAGGUGGGUACUUCUGUGAAUAAGCUUUACGAUUAUGGACUUAAAGCUAUGUUGGAUUAUGGCUUGGAACAUGUGAAUGAUAACGAGUCAUGUGAUCGGAAUUUCAAUGAGUUUAUGCAAACUAUUGAAUCAACAAAGUUUCUCCCACCUUCUUCUGUAAGUUGUUUCUUAUUCUCUAAUCUUAUUUUUGGACCAUAUCAAUGAAUCUGUCUUAAGAAGCCUUGACGAUGCAGGUCAGAUUCAUUUUUUCAUCAAAACUGUGAUUUGCACACAAUUUUCACGUAUGACGCACGGUGAAACUUGGAUUUUAUGCUCUGAUACCACGUUUGGGAUGAAAAAUUUAUGAUUACAGGUUAGCUUCGUUGUAGUGAAGAUCACAGCAAUAUGUCCUCUUAGUUUGCUUAGAAGAGUAAGUGAUCUACUGAGAUGGCAAUACAAGGAUAAAUCCCUUCAUCUUCCAUGGAAGCUUAAAACCUUUCCAAUUUUAUCAGAUUCCAGCCCUUUUUACCACUCCCCGAAUAGGCCAGAGCCAUUGACCCAAGAAGAAGAAAACAAUCUCCAUUUAUCCCACCAAAGAUUAACAAAACUUUGCGAGAAAUGUGUCGAAACGAAUGUUUCCCUGUUAAUUGAUGCAGAGGAUACGUCGCUUCAACCUGCAAUUGACUACUUUGGGUACACGGCAUCAAUCAUGUAUCACAAAGAUGAUGAGCCUAUAGUAUUUGGGACAAUUCAGGCUUACUUGAAAGAUGCAAAGGAGAGAUUGGUUAAUGCAAAGAAAGCUGCAGAUAAAAUGGGAGUGCCAGUUGGGUUUAAAUUGGUGAGGGGUGCAUAUAUGUCAAGUGAAAGACAAUUGGCUUCUUCUUUGGGUGUCAAGUCCCCAAUUCAAGAUAGUAUUCAAGAAACACAUCAGUGUUACAAUGAUUGUGCAGCUUUUAUGCUUCAUGAAAUUGCCAAUGGCUCGGGGUCAAUUAUUCUUGCAACCCAUAAUGUGGAAUCAGGUAAAGAUUUUGAAAUAAAUAUCAAUCUAGGUGGCGGUGGGACCUCGACCAACAGGCCAUGAGGCUUUCCUAAAUUUUUUU
rnacentral:lncRNA from 1 species